GCCAACGUCCAUACCACGUUGAAUACACCGGUUCUCGUCCGAUCACCAAAGUUAAGCAACGUCGGGCGCGGUCAGUACUUGGAUGGGUGACCGCCUGGGAACACCGCGUGAUGUUGGCU
rnacentral:rRNA from 1 species